rnacentral:rRNA from 1 species
UACGAAGGGGGCUAGCGUUGUUCGGAUUUACUGGGCGUAAAGCGCACGUAGGCGGAUCUUUAAGUCAGAGGUGAAAUCCCAAGGCUCAACCUUGGAACUGCCUUUGAUACUGGGGAUCUCGAGUCCGGGAGAGGUGAGUGGAACUGCGAGUGUAGAGGUGAAAUUCGUAGAUAUUCGCAAGAACACCAGUGGCGAAGGCGGCUCACUGACCCGGUACUGACGCUGAGGUGCGAAAGCCGUGGGGAGCAAAGCAGGGGAGUUA